GUUUGAUCACUCGCAAAUCGCACAACAAGAGAACAUUUUCAAUUACUACAACAAUAAAUUUAGAUCGCUCGCAAAUACACUGGCGUUAUCUGCGCCAGUGAAAAAACUAAGCAUGCAGGUUCCAAAUAAGCAAAAGGACGAAGCUUUCAAGGUACG